rnacentral:rRNA from 1 species
UUUUUAAAAUUAAAAUUUAUUAAUUAUUACUAUUUUAUAGUAUUUAAGAAAUAAAAAUUAUUUAAAUUUACUGUUAAGGAAAUUUUAUAAAUGUAUAAUAAAAUUUAUUAGUACCUUUUGUAUCAGGGUUAAUUUAAUUUAACAUUUAUAUUUUAUUCCCGAAAAAAGGUUAUUUAUAAUAUUUUUUUUUUUUAUUAUUGAAUUAAUAUUAAUAAACUUAUUAUAGUAGUGAUAUACUAUCCGCCCCUUUAUUAUAUCUGGUUAUUUAGGAAUUCAAUUUAAUUGAAAAUUAAUGUUAAAUUAUUUUUAUAAUUUUAUUUUAAUUAUAUGUAAUUUGGGAUAAUCUUUAUUAUUAUUUAAAAUUUAUUAUUAAUAAUUCUUAUUUAAUUUAAAAUCUUUUAUUUAGUUCUUAUUAGAUUAUAAUUUAUUUAUAUAAUUUCAUAUUAAUUUAUAUUUUUACUGAAUUAUUUUAACUAAUUUUAAAUUAUUAAAAUUAAUGAUUAAAUUAGUAUAAUUUAUAAUUAUAAUAUAAUUAACUCGACAAAUAUUAAUCUCCAACUGUUUAUCAAAAACAUUUCUUUUAGAGAAAAAUUAAAGGUAAAUUCUGCCCUAUGAAUAAUUAAAUGGCUGCAGUAUUUUGACUGUGCAAAGGUAGCAUAAUCAUUAGUCAUUUAAUUGUUGACUUGUAUGAAUGGAUAAAUGAGGGAUUUAUUUUUUUUAUUUUAUUAUUAAAAUUUUAUUUUUAAGUAAAAAAGCUUAAUUAAUUUUUAGGGACGAGAAGACCCUAAAGAACUUAAUUAUUUUUAUUAUUUAAAAUUUUUUAGUUAAAUUUUUAUUAAGAUAAUAAUUAUUAUUUUGUUGGGGUGACAAAUAAAUUUUAACUUUAUUUUUUUUAUUCAUUAAUUUAUGAAUUUUUUGAUCCUUUAUUUAGAUUUAAGAAAUAGUUACCUUAGGGAUAACAGCGUAAUUUUAAUGGGGAGUUCAUAUUUAUAUUAAAGUUUGCGACCUCGAUGUUGAAUUAAGAUAAGUAUAAGGGGCAGGUUUUUUAUUACUAAGUCUGUUCGACUUUUAAAUUCUUACAUGAUUUGAGUUCAAACCGGUGUGAGCCAGGUUGGUUUCUAUCUUAAAAUUAAUUUUCUUUAUAGUACGAAAGGACCUAAAGGGUCAAUCUUAUUUGUUUAUUAUUGAAAAUUAUU